rnacentral:lncRNA from 1 species
CAUAAACACCAAAUAACAAAUUUCCAGCCCAUUUUUAGUUUGUCAAGCCAACGUCGCAUGUCAAGGUCUUAUUAAGCGUUCGAAAACUGGGGAGGUUCAAGUGCCUCGAGCAGCGAGCAACUUCUACUUCUCCAGCUGUUCCAAAGAAAAAGCCCCAAAACAAUUUCUAUGUGUGUGUUUGUUCAUAUCUGUGUCUGCUGCUUGUCGCUCUGUCUGUGUGCCAUUGACAUUGACUUAUGGCCGUGAUGGUAUACCCUACAUGGGCGGGGGGUCGCGGGGGGUUCUCGGUUCGACGUCGACCCUUUGACAAAAACUUUGUUUUGUCGCUUUUGUGCUCUGCUCUCUGCGUUCGUUCUCUCGCUUUUCGUUUCACUGCCUGCUACGCACAUUUAUGGUUUGUUUUGCUCUGACUACACACACACACACACACGCACACACAAGCGUAUACUCGAAUGGCCUACGCGAAGAAAGAGAAAGAAAGAGAUAAAGAAGAGAGAGAGGCAGAGAGGUAGAGAGAGAUGGAACGUCGUCUGGGAUGAUAAACGCUUCUUGCCUUUUUUGGCGGGGUCCAUGAAUGAAACAAUUGCCCUGAAUGACUGACUGGCAGACUGGCAGACUAGCAGACUGGCAGACUGAUUGCUACCAAUUGCCCACUGUGCCAUGCGAAGGUCGGAAAGGGUGGGCGUGGUGUGGGCGCAGAGCUGGGGAUGGGGAGAGGAAAGCCGCCAGCAAUAAACACUUUGCCACGACAAAAGUCUGAUGAUGGAGACGAUGAUGAACUAGAUUCUGGGGAUGAUGAUGAUGACGGCAAGGCUGAUGAUAAUGGAAAUGAUUUGGGGACCACCAUUCCGGCCCAUCCAUCCUUCAGUUGGAAUUCAGUGGGUCAGGUCAUUCGUGUGCUUACUUAUUACGGUGAGAGUGGAUAGAUAGUCGGUUAAAUCACAUUCAUUUUAGAAGGAUUCUUUUAUCAUUGAUAACAAAGAGUUUUCCUCUUAUUUCGACUGACUGGAAACCGCUGCACUAUUGAUGGGUGAGUGUCAAAACUAUUUUUAAUUACCGCCUAAGUUCAGCAUUUUGAAACUUCAAUAGAUGUAAUUAUGUUAACACUUUUUGCAAAUGCUCCCACGGCCCACGGGGCGUAUGCGCAAUGUACAUAGAUGCGCCCGGCUGGAAAUCGGUCACAUUACCACCUGGCUACUUAUUAGCGGCACUAAAUCAAGCCAAGACAGACCAGACCAGACCAUCCAGUUUACGAGCUGGAGUCGAAUUUUUCACAUGCGUAUAAAUCAAUCAGAUUGGUCCCAGAACGCCAGCCAGAGACCGGCCCCCGACAAAGACCCCGACCCCGACCCCGCCCCUGCUCUGACUCUGACUUCGGCCCAAGCUGAAUCAUAAACUGCAACAGCAAUGGACGAGCAGACGACAGCCAUAAAGUUAACUUUUACGACUGCCGACGCAUAAUUACGCACUCUCGCACCUACACGGACACGGCUGCACAGCCUCAGGGGCGGUUUUCGAUAUACACACACACAUAUACCCACCCCUCGCAUAGAGGUCUUCUGCAACUGCAAAAUGGCAAACAACCCGUCUGAUUUUCCUCCUCUUAUCCCAGUUUUGAUUGCGAUAUUCAGGACUCCUCCUGAUGCGGACAUAUGCAGGCGUGACUCGCCACCGGCCGCACAUAUGUGACACAUGUACAAUACUUACAGUGAACACUCCUAAGAGCGAACUGUCUACAUACGUUCAUGGCUUAUGGCUUCAUUUUCAUAUUUCAACAUCAAAUUUGAUGAGAUUUGCCCACAGAUCGGCUGACAAUAUGGCGAAUUCCACUCCAUGAUUUAUAUGCCGAUUCCUGGUGUGAUUGCUGGGAGGGAGGGUUUCCCUGCUAGACCCAUAAUGUAGCUGCAGGAAUGCUAGAGAUCGGAGAUGGGCAAAUUUACAUGUGAGGUUGCCACGCAUCCCAUUAAUUUUGAUGCCACGACGUUCACAGCAACCGAAGAGGCAGAGAUCUCAAUGUAUGGUGUCUAGUGUGGGUGGCCUUCGGAAUCAUCAAAUUGUCGAGCUCGUCUUGAACCCUGGAUUCUGUAGCUCUGACUGCAUAAAUUGCGAAGAGAUAGCCAGACACUGACAAGGGCAGUGGGGGCGGCAGAGGUCGUCUAAUUUGGUCAUUCAAAUUGCAGCUCAGACAAGAGGCAAUCAUGAUGGCUGCUGCUGCUGCUGCUGUUGCUCCGUGGAGCAUAAAUUGCACACUAAUUGUGUCUUUUGCUGUGCUCCGCUUUUGUUUGCCGGAGAUGCCACCGCAGACCCACCGCCACCCACUCGACAGCCCAGCCCUGGCCAUUAGUCGUUUUAAUAAAACAAAAUAAACUAAAACACAGUGGCUGGCUCUGUGCGCAAGUGUCGUGGCCAUCUUCAUCCACAGUCACAGUCCCAGCUCCAGCCUCAGCCCACUCUCUAUCUCAGUUUCAGUCCCAGUCUUGGUCUCUGUCUCUGGCUCUGUCAUCCUCCAAUGUGGCACCACUCCUUCUCUUCGCUGUCGUUGUCGCUGUCGCCAUCGUCCCAUGUUUAGUUUGGGUGUGAAAUCUAAUUUGAAAAGUUUGUGUAGUCAUUUUGAUGCCGGAGCGCACUCAACAGCAUAUGCUACCCGCCGCUCGGGUUUUCUUUUCUAAUUUUGUUUGCAAGUCAUUGACGCAAUAUUGCCCAGCUCCCCUGCCUCCUGCGCCCUCCGACAGCCAGCCACUCCUGUCCACCGGCUGCGACUCGAACAUUUUAUAGAAACCGCAGAGAGAGAGAGAACACAUUUGCCAGGCAUCGAACGUGAGCAUUCUGAAAUUUAAAUUAGACUUCAUAUCAAAUAGUUUCGGAGUGGAGUGGGUUCGCCUCAUGGGCAAAGGGGAAAGUGGUCUUGAAAUGUCAAAUAUUUCUACUAGAAGCAGAAGCAAACUUCAACCAGAGAAAUUUCAGCAGCCUUGAAAACAGAGAAUUAAAGAUUGGUCAAAUAUAGUAUUCUAAGAUCUACGGAUUUCCCACUAUGUCGCUCUCCUCCUUGUGAUAAUAGUGAAGAGAAAAUGCUGUCAAGUCACUUCUAGCUUCUAGUAGGAAUCAGGAUGUUCCAUUGGCAAAACCUUUGUUCGCACAAGAUGGCGGGGAGCAAAGUCAAUCCGAGGUGAAACAAAUUUAAAAACUAAAUUAAACUUCAAUUCGUGAGACAUAAUCCCUGAUGGGCGAUAAAGAAAUAUACGCGUAGGUCUUCGCUCGAGACUCCACAGAAAGGAACCGAAUGGAACAGAAUAAUUGAGAAGACAAAAAAAGAGCGAAAAGGGAAAACUCAUUUGAGAACUACGCCCCAAAGACAGCGAGGACGCAGAGGUGGCAAGUGCAGACGCGGCAGCGAUGCCAGGCAGGCAGGGUUCCCCCUGCUCGCUGGCAACUUUACCAUUGUUGCAAGGAACUGUGGGCUGUGGGUUGUGGGUGUGGUUCGGGCUGCUCACGAGCGUGGAAACAAUCAACUGAAAGCGUUGAUGGUGACGGCGUUGUGGUCCAGACCAGGUACAACAGCUGGGUGGGGCAGGGGGUUGUGGUUGUGGUUGGGCGAUGGCCAGGGUGGUAGUAGCAUGCGUCUGCUGGCAACAAUGGCAACAAUGGCGCAAUGGCGUCUGUAAUUCCGAGCAAUUGUUUCCGUUUUCUGCGCGACGCCGCGACUGUCCAUGGCAUCGGAUGCCACACAGGAGACUCAUCACCAGGAUUCGGCUCCAUUUCCAUCCGUUUAGCACCUUUGGCCAAGUUUCCAACGAUUUGCCAUAGAGUCACGUACCGCACUAUCGGUCGAUUUGGGGAACAAGAGAUUUCUGUUAGAUGCGCUGACUGUGGUGCUGGUGGGGGUGUUACGUCCAUCCCUUAGGAUGCUUUAGUGACUGCUCCACACGGCUCGUUGCUUCUGCAAAUUGUCGCACAUUCUUAAGGGAGAUUCAGCAGGGAGACACUCCAGGCCCAACUAUCCCAAAACCUGAACCUGAAACUGAAUCCGCCCUUGGCGCUCGUUAUGUGGGCGGAUGCGUCUACGUCUUUCUGUCUGUCUGUCCCUCUCUGUGCACGUCCUCUGGGAAUCGGUCGGGGCAGGGAGGCAGCAUUUUGCAUUGGAAUUUGCUUUGCCGAAUGCCGCCAUUUAGGGUUGUGCCAAUAAAAAAAUGAUAUUUAUGGAUGUAACGGCCGUUUUGUGUGUACGCCUUCCCUCACCCUCAUCCACUCCGGCCACAUCCCCUCACACCCACGCGGCCGACAAGCCCACCAGCCCCACAAGCCACAAACAAACGAUGGCCGAGCACAGUGGGCGCAAUCAAUGCAUUUAUUGACAGAAAGACAACGUAUCGAGGUCGCUCGCUGUUAGCUCGGAGAGUCAUUUAUAAUUAUUACACAUAUACAGAGUGCAUUAUUGUAUAAUAAAUCAAUGGGAUAGCCAAAGGCAUCUUCUGUUUGCCUCAUAUAAAAU